AGUGAACGCUGGCGGUAGGCCUAACACAUGCAAGUCGAACGGCAGCACAGUAAGAGCUUGCUCUUACGGGUGGCGAGUGGCGGACGGGUGAGGAAUACAUCGGAAUCUACUUUUUCGUGGGGGAUAACGUAGGGAAACUUACGCUAAUACCGCAUACGACCUACGGGUGAAAGCAGGGGAUCUUCGGACCUUGCGCGAUUGAAUGAGCCGAUGUCGGAUUAGCUAGUUGGCGGGGUAAAGGCCCACCAAGGCGACGAUCCGUAGCUGGUCUGAGAGGAUGAUCAGCUACACUGGAACUGAGACACGGUCCAGACUCCUACGGGAGGCAGCAGUGGGGAAUAUUGGACAAUGGGCGCAAGCCUGAUCCAGCCAUACCGCGUGGGUGAAGAAGGCCUUCGGGUUGUAAAGCCCUUUUGUUGGGAAAGAAAAGCAGCUGGUUAAUACCCCGCUGUUCUGACGGUACCCAAAGAAUAAGCACCGGCUAACUUCGUG
rnacentral:rRNA from 1 species